GGCUCAAUGGUCUAGUGGUAUGAUUCUCCCUUCGGGCAACCGCCUGCACUGCAGGUUUAUAUGGGAGAGGCCCCCGUUUCGAUCACGGGUUGAGCCC